ensembl:lncRNA
GCAGGAAGUGAUGUCACUCUGCGCUGCAGACAGAGUAAUGGUGACAUCAUCACAGCCUAUUUCCUCUUUAAUGGAAGUCUUGUUGGAAAUAAAAAUAAAUCAGAGUUCAUCAUCACAAACGUCCAGCAGUCUGAUGAAGGUCUCUACUCCUGUGCUACUGAUGUGUUUGGAGAAUCUCCUCCGGGCUUUCUGAGGGUCAGAGGUCAGAACAAUGACAUCACUUCCUGUUUAAAAACAUGAACUAACCUGAGCUGAAAAUAAACAGGCUGAACCAUCUUCAUCAUGUCUCCUACAGAUCCUUCUGCUCAUCUCCACACCCGCACCUCCUCUAAUCCUGUGAACUCUCCUGCUCUUGUUUCUCCUGUAACAGACUCCUCCGCUCCUCCCUCCUCCUCCUCCAUCCUCGUUCCGGUUGUAGCAAGUCUGGUUUCCGUGGUUCUUCUGGUUUUGGUGGUUUGGGGAGUUCUCUGGAGGAAACAGAAAGCAGCGCUCCACUCCUCCUCUCCUGUACAUGUGAACUGCAGUGACGUCACCAUCACACAGAGAGACAACAGGAGAGGUAAAAGUCCUGAUGAUCCAGAUGUUAUCUACUCUGAUGUGAGGACUCGCACUUCAGGCCCUGAUGAUGUUGUUUACCGUGAGGUGAUCUUCAGAAGGUAGAGGAAAGCUGGUGAGACAACAGGAAGCUGAGGACACACUCGGUCUGAUGGACGACCUUCAUCCUUCACUCUGCUCCUCUUCUUCUCUUUGUGUCUCCUGAAACUCAGUUAUUUGAUUGUUCAUCAUGAAGAGCUGCACAAAACAUUUUAAACUUUUUAGGAUUUUCUGUUUCUAUGCAGAUAUGAUCUGAUGGAAAAUAUAAAAAAUAUAUAUCAAUAACAUUUAAACAAAUAAAUCAUUCAGUAAAAUGAGCCUCAGUCUCAGGAUGUUUUUAAUAAUUCAGUUACACACAGACAGUCAGUGACGGCUCCUCUCCUCAGCUUUCCUGCUGCCAUCAGAUGCUUGUUGUUGGAAAUCUCACUCCUCAUGCACUGGUAUGAUCAGCACUUGGUGACAGUAGGAAGGAAGAACUCCCUUUAACCUGAAGAAUGUUUUACUUUUAACAUCUUUCUGUAUGAUUGUCAGUGUUUUAUGUUACUGCAUGAUUGCUUUUCUUUCAUCUUUCAAGUCUCAUGUAUUGAAUAAAAUCCCCGAAACCCAUAAAAUAAAAUCAUGUCUG